AGGGAUGUAGCACAGCUUGGUAACGCAUUUGUUUUGGGUACAAAAUAUCACAUGUUCAAAUCUUGUCAUCCCUC
rfam:Triticum aestivum genome assembly, contig: Triticum_aestivum_CS42_TGACv1_scaffold_249068_3DL